rnacentral:rRNA from 1 species
CCUACGGGAGGCAGCAGUGAGGAAUAUUGGUCAAUGGCCGGGAGGCUGAACCAGCCAAGUCGCGUGAGGGAAGACGGCCCUACGGGUUGUAAACCUCUUUUGUCAGGGAGCAAGGUGCAGGUCGGGACCUGCUGUGAGAGUACCUGAAGAAAAAGCAUCGGCUAACUCCGUGCCAGCAGCUGCGGUAAUACGGAGGAUGCGAGCGUUAUCCGGAUUUAUUGGGUUUAAAGGGUGCGCAGGCGGAGGCACAAGUCAGCGGUAAAAUCGCGGGGCUCAACCCCGCUCCGCCGUUGAAACUGUGGCCCUUGAGUGCGCGAAGGGUAGGCGGAAUGCGUGGUGUAGCGGUGAAAUGCAUAUAUAUCACGCAGAACUCCGAUCGCGAAGGCAGCCUACCGGCGCGCAACUGACGCUCAUGCACGAAAGCGUGGGUAUCGAACAGGAUUAGAUACCCUUGUAGUC